rnacentral:rRNA from 1 species
UACGUAGGGUCCGAGCGUUGUCCGGAAUUAUUGGGCGUAAAGGGCUCGUAGGCGGUUAGUCGCGUCGGGAGUGAAAACUCAGGGCUCAACCCUGAGCGUGCUUCCGAUACGGGCUGACUAGAGGUAUGCAGGGGAGAACGGAGUUCCUGGUGUAGCGGUGGAAUGCGCAGAUAUCAGGAGGAACACCGGUGGCGAAGGCGGUUCUCUGGGCAUUACCUGACGCUGAGGAGCGAAAGCAUGGGGAGCGAACAGG